rnacentral:rRNA from 1 species
UCCCAGACUCCUACGGGAGGCAGCAGUGAGGAAUAUUGGUCAAUGGUCGGGAGACUGAACCAGCCAAGCCGCGUGAGGGAUGAAGGUACAGAGUAUCGUAAACCUCUUUUGUCAGGGAACAAAGGCGGGGACGUGUCCCCGGAUGAGUGUACCUGAAGAAAAAGCAUCGGCUAACUCCGUGCCAGCAGCCGCGGUAAUACGGAGGAUGCGAGCGUUAUCCGGAUUUAUUGGGUUUAAAGGGUGCGCAGGCGGUCUGUUAAGUCAGCGGUCAAAGCCCGGGGCUCAACCCCGUCGUGCCGUUGAAACUGAUGUUCUUGAGUGGGCGAGAAGUAUGCGGAAUGCGUGGUGUAGCGGUGAAAUGCAUAGAUAUCACGCAGAACUCCGAUUGCGAAGGCAGCAUACCGGCGCCCAACUGACGCUGAAGCACGAAAGCGUGGGUAUCGAACAGGAUUAGAUACCCGGGUACA